GUCAUUCUCUCUUCAUUAUCCAUCAAGUGGGACGCAAACCGGGAUAACUCCGUAAAUUUAGCCUCGUAUUGCGACACGGUCAUAUUGUUUUGUUCCAACUUGAUAAACUACACCUCCUUCAUGUGACGAAUACUUUCGGGAAAGUAUUUGUCGUUGAACAGCUCUUGGAACUUCUCCCAAGACAUCUUCAGUACGGCAGGUUGAGUACGUUUU
rnacentral:lncRNA from 1 species